AAAUCACCCGCGAUCACACAUUAGAAUAUCCGUGCCGCCUGGUGCGAUUCUCUCUCUCUCUCUCUAGUUUUUCUAUAAUUAUUGUUAACGCCUUAACCUUUUAAGGGGGGGAAAAAGGGGAAGAGAAGUAAAAGUCGAAUUGUCAAUUGAUUUUCAAACACACUAGUUGUCGCUAGUGUGCAUGUCUGGCCCACCAAUUGGAGAAGAAUUAGUGGUAUCAAGUAUGCAAGAGAGAAUAUCUGAAAUGAUGAAUCAUGCUGAUGCUUUUAUUUUCUUGCCAGUAGAUCUUGC
rnacentral:lncRNA from 1 species